rnacentral:rRNA from 1 species
CACUCCUGCGGGAGGCAGCAGUGGGGAAUAUUGGACAAUGGGCGCAAGCCUGAUCCAGCCAUGUCGCGUGAGUGAUGAAGGCCCUAGGGUUGUAAAGCUCUUUCACCGGUGAAGAUAAUGACGGUAACCGGAGAAGAAGCCCCGGCUAACUUCGUGCCAGCAGCCGCGGUAAUACGAAGGGGGCUAGCGUUGUUCGGAUUUACUGGGCGUAAAGCGCACGUAGGCGGACUAUUAAGUCAGGGGUGAAAUCCCGGGGCUCAACCCCGGAACUGCCUUUGAUACUGGUAGUCUUGAGUUCGAGAGAGGUGAGUGGAAUUCCGAGUGUAGAGGUGAAAUUCGUAGAUAUUCGGAGGAACACCAGUGGCGAAGGCGGCUCACUGGCUCGAUACUGACGCUGAGGUGCGAAAGCGUGGGGAGCAAACAGGAUUAGAAACCCCGGUAGUCCC